AGUGAACGCUGGCGGUAGGCCUAACACAUGCAAGUCGAACGGCAGCACAGUAAGAGCUUGCUCUUACGGGUGGCGAGUGGCGGACGGGUGAGGAAUACAUCGGAAUCUACUUUUUCGUGGGGGAUAACGUAGGGAAACUUACGCUAAUACCGCAUACGACCUACGGGUGAAAGCAGGGGAUCUUCGGACCUUGCGCGAUUGAAUGAGCCGAUGUCGGAUUAGCUAGUUGGCGGGGUAAAGGCCCACCAAGGCGACGAUCCGUAGCUGGUCUGAGAGGAUGAUCAGCCACACUGGAACUGAGACACGGUCCAGACUCCUACGGGAGGCAGCAGUGGGGAAUAUUGGACAAUGGGCGCAAGCCUGGUCCAGCCAUACCGCGUGGGUGAAGAAGGCCUUCGGGUUGUAAAGCCCUUUUGUUGGGAAAGAAGAGCAGCAGGUUAAUACCCCGCUGUUCUGACGGUACCCAAAGAAUAAGCACCGGCUAACUUCGUG
rnacentral:rRNA from 1 species